UACAGAGGUGCCAAGCGUUAGGCGGAAUCACUGGGCUUAGAGCGCGCGUAGGCGGAUGUUUAAGUGUCUUGUGAAAUCCCACGGCUCAACCGUGGAACCGCUGGGCAUACUGGACAUCUCGAGGCACUCAGGGGCGAGCGGAACAAGUGGUGGAGCGGUGAAAUGCGUAGAUAUCACUUGGAACGCCAAUGGUGAAGACAGCUCGCUGGGGGUGUCCUGACGCUGAGGCGCGAAAGCCAGGGGAGCGAACGGG
rnacentral:rRNA from 1 species